UACAGAGGUCUCAAGCGUUGUUCGGAUUCAUUGGGCGUAAAGGGUGUGUAGGUGGCGCCGUAAGUCGGGUGUGAAAUCUCGGGGCUUAACUCCGAAACUGCAUUCGAUACUGCGGUGCUUGAGGACUGGAGAGGAGACUGGAAUUCAUGGUGUAGCAGUGAAAUGCGUAGAUAUCGUAAGGAAGACCAGUGGCGAAGGCGGGUCUCUGGACAGUUCCUGACGCUGAGGCAACGAAGGCCCAGGGGGAGCAAACGGG
rnacentral:rRNA from 1 species